AGUCUCAUCUAUGCUUUUGUGUAGUAUGAAAGUACACUUGGCUAAAAGAGCUCUAAUGUUACCCUCAGAAGACUUUGGGUGAAGAUGGGCUACUCAGCUACAUAAACUAAUGAAUAAGCAUUAAAUCUCACUGGAAUAAAUUAAUAUACACUAAACGUGAUUAUAACUUGCGUAGUUGAUAGGAUGGAUGUAGUAAUACAUGCGGUAUUGAUAUCCUUUUAUUGUGACUCUCAUCAGGAAAAAAAAAGUGGAGUUAAGUAUUUGGUAACUAUGUUCAUUUUAGGGUUGAACCUAAAUAAAUAGCUCUUUAUGAGCUGUCAGACCAUAUAACGGUCUAGGUAUGAGUAAUUGUAACUUUUCCUGCAUUCUGGAAAUACUGGGCUUUGAGUCGAUUGAUUCUAUGCAUUUUUUUAAGAACCACACUGCACGUAAUACUGAGUGUGGGGUAGGUUUCUGCAAGUACCCCCGUUGCGUAAGCACACAGUUCGGCAGCCAGGCGUUGUCAGUAGUAAAGUGGGGCAAAAGGUACAUUGCGGUGUGCAGAGCAAGGUUACAGGUUCGGAGGAAAAUGGGCGCUCUGGCCUGUGAAGAGCGUUCCGUGGCGGAGGUGUAAUGGAGCCUGAGUGUGGACUGUGGGGACACCUUGAGAGGGAGCUUAGAGCAGUAGUAGGCACAGAGGACCUGGUGGUUGUCUGCUUAGGUGACAUAAGCCAAGGUACUUGGUUUGUAGGAAGAAAUUGGAAUGGUCGCUCUGGGCUCUGCGGAGGGUCCCGAGUUGCGUUUGAAGGACUUGGACACUGGGAGUGGAGGGGCCUGUCCGCGAUUCAGGAUGAGCCGGGGUCGGGAAGAGGGAGAUUGGGAGGUGAGUUAAGUGAUCCGAAAGGGCGUUAACUAGGGUUCGAACUUGAUUGGAAGGGGUGAGGGGAAAGGAAACAUAGAAAGUGAGAUGACUGCGCGUGACAGGCCUUGGGGCUGGAAUCCUUUGAGAGACAGCAGAGCAGCCCGUGUCUGAGGUCUUGGUGAGGACCAGGAGAACAAGUGCUGGCAGCGUCCCGUUGGCUCUGGUGGUGCGCCUGGAAAGUAGGAAUAUGCUUUUCUUCAAGAAAUGUUUUAUGCAGUUAGCGCUCAGGUUCAUGGUCCGUCCCACGUUUGCCCGUAAUGUGCCAGAGGCUCUUUGUCGUGCCAGCAGGCGAGAAACGUCUAAGAGAGUGAUAACACAUUAUUAGCCCCUGCACCAAAACCAUUUGAUCCGUGUGCUUUGUUUGGUCUGCACAAUAUUUUGAAAAAUUUUGAAUCUGGAUUUCUAGGUUUUCUUAAAAAAUAGGAAUACCUGACAACUGUGGGCCCGCAUUCUCCAUCUAGUAAAAUGUGCCUGGAGUUGCGUAGAGACGAUCCACUCUGUGUGCUGGCCAGGCCUGCCCCCGGCUCCGGUGUCCCUCUCCCCCAUGUAUCUCAACCCUACUCUUGGUGGCAGUUGCCAUUUUACAUCCAGCUGGCUUACAAGUACUACCUGUGUGGUGCCUAGGUUUCGUGAGCCCCUGGCAUUACCAAUUUACCCUCCAGUUAUACCCUUGGUGUGUGCGUGGUUUCGUUUUGGUGGGGGAAGAUGAGGAGGAGGCAGGACAUUCAGCAUGGUGUACAUUCCUGUCUACAGGUGAGAGAAAGGUGUGAAGGUGCAGAUGGGAGGACUCAGAAUUGAAGUAAUUUGCCCAAGGCCAUACAAAUAAACAACAGAAUUGGGAUUUAUGUGUUUCUUUGGCCAUUUUGUCUCCAAUUUUUGAAAUAGGGUUUCACUUUGGCAUGCUUUCUGAGGACAUUUCGGGGAUUUUUCAGAUUUUUUUCUGAGGACUCCAUGGCUUGGUGUUGAUAGGGUGUUUAUCUCCCACCUCCCUUUUCCUUCUCACAUUUACCGAGCAUCUGAGCGCCAUCAUGGUCCAUUCUAGACUGAAAAAAAAAAAACAAAACGAAGGCAAGCCUGCCCUGACCU